CAUUAGUUCCGGUUUGUAUCACAAACCGGGACUAUAUGUGGACCUUUAGUUCCGGUGCAUGAUGCAAACUGGGACUAAAUCUUUUCCUAUAUAAACCACUUCAUCCAGACCGAGCUCAUUGCUCUGUUUUCUCCACUCUCUCCUCUGUUCUUCCCUUGCUCGAGCUCACCGUCCAAUUUUUGCCAAGAUUUGUCAAGAUUUGAGGCACCCCAUCUCUCCAAGUGUUCACAAAGGUGUGGUUUACUUAGUACCUUCCUGUCUCCGUCCUAACCACCGUCGAUUGCCUCCACCGUCUCGUCGUCGGCUCCACCUUGUGUCAUGGUCUUGAUAUCCAUCCCCAUCGGCCCUCGUCCGGAUUAUGAUUCAGGUGUGGUAUAUUCUCUUUCAUAACUAUUUUUUUGCAUUUCUCGUUUAUAUGACAAUUAUGCCCAUCAAGUUGACAUAGAUAUUUUUAUCGAGGAGGUGUGUGAAGCGGAAAUUGCAUCUGACCCUCUUGUCGAGAAGUUAAAUUUAGUUGAAAAACAAAAUGAGUAUUUGAAAGAAAAAUUGAAAGGAAUUGAAGAAGAGAAGAUGAAAUUGGAGUUGUAUGUUGCCGACGUCGUCGAUGAUCACACGAUCAAGACGGAUGCAAUGUGCUUGAAGAUUAGAAGGAUUAGAAACUAUGCCCUUAAUAAAGAGGCUUGGUAUCACUAUGUU